rnacentral:rRNA from 1 species
AAUUUUGGACAAUGGGGGAAACCCUGAUCCAGCCAUCCCGCGUGUAUGAUGAAGGCCUUCGGGUUGUAAAGUACUUUUGGCAGAGAAGAAAAGGUACCUCCUAAUACGAGGUACUGCUGACGGUAUCUGCAGACUAAGCACCGGCUAACUACGUGCCAGCAGCCGCGGUAAUACGUAGGGUGCAAGCGUUAAUCGGAAUUACUGGGCGUAAAGCGUGUGUAGGCGGUUCGGAAAGAAAGAUGUGAAAUCCCAGGGCUCAACCUUGGAACUGCAUUUUUAACUGCCGAGCUAGAGUAUGUCAGAGGGGGGUAGUGGAAUUUCCUGUGUAGCGGUGAAAUGCGUAGAUAUGUGGAGGAAUACCGAUGGCGAAGGCAGCCCCCUGGGAUAAUACUGACGCUCAGACACGAAAGCGUGGGGAGCAAACA